AGAGGCCUGUGACGAUCAAAAUAUUGCCUACAUUGCAUGAAUGCUUUCCAUGAUAAUGAUCUGCUAUGAUUCUGAGGCCUCU